GAUAUAUGGUCCGCGAUGCAGGAAGCAGAGGGUUGGCAGAAAAAAUUUUUGAGUGAUGGCUUGCACCUGACACCAGAAGGUAAUGCUGUAGUCUAUCAAGAAGUUAUAAGAGUGUUCAAUGAUGCAUGGCUCUCUGCUGAAGAAAUGCCAUAUGAUUUCCCUCACCACUCCGAAAUUGAUGGAAAGAACCCUGAAAAAGCUNNNNNNNNNNCAACAACGAUGCAUAUAAAAAUGCAGUCCGUUUGUGUUUAUUCUUUAAUGAAUCUAUUGGAUCCAAAGUUCAAAACCUAGAAUAUUUUGAUUUUUCCCCUGAUUAUUUGAACACUGCUGCUUCACUGUUCGUAUUACAAAAAGCAUUUGUUAUUGCUGCUAUUGCAGAACAAUGGACAUUUUUCUGUUACUAUUGAAAUUGAA
rnacentral:misc_RNA from 1 species